rnacentral:lncRNA from 1 species
CUUGAAACACGGGAGGCUUGUGUUUCCACCAAUGGCUUUGUGACUAUAGGAAGAGGAACAGGUUUGGGGGUUAAAAAGUUUCUGAACAUCAGGAGUCCAGGUAUAGCCAGUUGCUUAUCUAGCAAACUCCAUCCAUCUUCUGAACAGAACAGUGUUGUGUUCAAGGUCUCGCGAGGCUGCAAUCAAGGUGUCAGCUGAGCUGUGUUUUCAGCUGGAUGUUUGAGUGGGGAAGAGUCCACCUCCAAGCUCACUCAGGUUGUUCACAGACUGUAUUUCCUUGUGGCUGUAUAACUAAGAACUCUGGCAUUUUGCUGGCUGUUGGCUGAGGCUACCCUUCGGUUCUAGAGGCUGCCUUGUAAACUUCUUCAACACAGCUGCUCACUUCAUCAAGCCUGCGACAAGAACCUCUCCAGUGCAUGCCAGCAAGAUGGGGCCAUACACAGACAUAAAAUUACGGGAGUGACAUCCCAUCACCUUUGCAUUUUCUAUUGCUAAGAGGCAAGUCUCAGGUUCCACCUGCACUCAGAUGGAGGGAAUUACACAAAGGCAUGGACAUCAGGAAGCAGGAAUCACUGUGGGUCACUCUAGGAUUUGUUAUCCACAAGGGAUCACAUUAUCUGCUUAGAAUUUCAAACGAAUAAUAAAACCAAAAAAAGUUGGUCUGCCUUUUAAAAAUUUUCCCUUAUUUAAAACUUUAUUCUUAAUAAAGAAAAAUGAGAAAACCCCAAAACUUUCUUCUUUAAUUGGCAACCUUCAAAAAAGAUAUUCACAACAGGACUCAGAGCAAGGGCAGAGAUCCCCAAAGAGAUGGUUUUUCCUUAAUUCAUCAGGCUGGAGCAGAGUUUAAACCAAGCUGGAACCACUCCGGCUCUGGCCACAACCUAAUCUCUACAUCCUGGCCUCCAUCACAUUGGCCGGAAGCUGGUUCGCUUCAUCCA